rnacentral:ncRNA from 1 species
CCUAGUUCUGACGAACUAGGCUGAUCUAUACCGUUCCUUCAGAACU